rnacentral:rRNA from 1 species
GCAAACGUCGAAAAACCUUACCACCUUUGACAUGGCAGGAAUCCUAAAGAGAUUUUGGAGUGCUCGAAAGAGAACCUGCACACAGGUGCUGCAUGGCUGUCGUCAGCUCGUGUCGUGAGAUGUUGGGUUAAGUCCCGCAACGAGCGCAACCCUUGCCAUUAGUUGCUACGAAAGGGCACUCUAAUGGGGACUGCCGGUGACAAACCGGAGGAAGGUGGGGAUGACGUCAAGUCAGCAUGGCCUUUAUAUCCUGGGCUACACACACGCUACAAUGGGAAGGGACAAUAGGUUGCGAAGCCGCGAGGCGGAGCCAAUCCAGCAAAACUUCCCUCAGUUCAGAUUGCAGGCUGCAACUCGCCUGCAUGAAGUUGGAGUUGCUAGUAAACGCAGGUCAGCCAUACUGCGUUGAAUACGUUCCCGGGGCUU